UGUUGCCAGUUCAACCCAGCCAAUGAAUGCGCCGAGCACGUUCACCACGUUCCGGCCAAGUCCCGCCCAGCCCUUGUGAGAACAGGCUGAGCACAAGCGCCUGAGACAACUUGUACCAGAACAAAACUCAGUACGGGACGUCCUUGGAUGAGGGUGACUUGCUCCCACCCCAGUUCUGGUGGCUCUGAGGUGUCGUAUUAAGACCAAAGUAGGCAGGAGAUCAUGAUAGAGCCGGUGGGUGUGCUUAGACCUUCUCAAACUGCAAACAACUAGUUAUCCAAAUGGCUGCCUAAUCAUUAACCAGCACUUAUCUGCCAACCAGCCCACAGUUUGAUUUGCUUUUGCAAACCAUGAUGAUGAAAGUAUUUUACAAAUCCAAGUCCUGAGCUGGGUGUCGUUGCAUAAAAUGGAAGAACAAUGGAAGAGCCUUGAACACUGCCUUGAGCGUCAUUCUAAUCAGAGCAGGUCUAUGUCCAGUUGUGUGAGGUAGACACAGGUGCACAAUUGAAUAUUACCUCCCCCACCCCUCACUCACACAAAUUUCAACUAGAUAGGUUCUUGGGUGUCAAAUCUGAAGACCUAUCCCGAGCCCAACAUAUUGAUGCAAUUAUGAAGAGGGCAUGCCAGUGACUGCAUUUCAUUACGAGUCUGAGGAGGUUUGGUAUGUCAGAUACUCCCGCAAAUUUCUACAGAUGUACCAUGGAGGCUUACACCAGUUUCUGACAUGGAGGGGCCACUGCACAGGAUCGGUUAAAAAAAAGAUGCAGAAGGUUGUAAACUCAGCCAGUUUCAUCACAGGCACUAGCCUCCCCAAGAGCAAGGACAUCUUCAAAAGGCAAUGCCUCUAAAAGGUGACAUCCAUCAUUAAGGUCCCCACAUACUCUCUUCUCAUUACUACCAUCAGAGAGGAGGUACAGGAGCCUGAAGAAACACAUUCAGCAUUUCAGGAACAGGUACCUUCCCUCCUCCGUCAGGCUUCUGAGCAGAAAAUGAACCUAUGAACACUUCCUCACUAUUUUGCCCUGUUUUUGCACUGCUUAUUUAUCUUUUUUAUGUAUUUCUUAUUAUAAUUUAUAGUAUAAUUUAUGUAUUGCAAUGUACUGCUGUUGCAAAACAACAAAUUUCAUGACAUAUGUUAGUGAAGUUAAUCCUGAUACCGAUUCUGAUUUAGAUGUCUCAGCUGGCCAGCAGCCGAUACCGUCCAAAGCGAUGUGGUAAAAGUUUCAAGAGAGAAGCACAUGUUGGAGUAUUUCACACAGUAUCCAAGGGCCAGAUACAGAGCAGGAAACAUUCUUUUCCACAAGGCCUGUGGGUUCAGCAAAUGAAGUGGACUAUAACAACUGUGGCUCAAGAAGUCCAUACUUUUGCCAGGCAACAAUGAGAGAGAGGGCAAGGUAAUCUAACAGGACUUGAGAACAGAUACUUCAAAAUUCAACAAAGUUGGCCAAUCUUUCGAAUACUGACCUAUAUAAUUUUCCAAUCAUGUACCUUACAUAUCUCAAACAUAUACUUAAUGAUGCUUAUUAUUAUACAAUACUCUGAGUAGCCACUUUAUUAGAAACACCUGUACACCUGCUUGUUAAUGCAAAUGUCUAAUCAACCAAUACCUCUCAUAGAGGUAUAUAAGAUGAUGAGAGGCAUUGAUCGUGUGGAUAGUCAGAGGCUUUUUCCCAGGGCUGAAAUGGCUAGCACGAGAGGGCACAGUUUUAAAGUGCUUGGAAGCAGGUACAGAGGUUAAGUUUUUACGCAAAGAGUGGUGAGUACAUGGAAUGGGCUGUUGGCGGUGGUGGUGGAGGCGGAUACGAUAGGGUCUUUUAAGAGACUACUGGACAGGUACAUGGAGCUUAGAAAAAUAGAGGGCUAUGGGUAACCCUAGGUCAUUUCUAAGGUAAGGACAUGUUCAGCACAGCUAUGUGGGCCAAAGGGCCUGUACUGUGCUGUAGGUUUUCUAUGUUUCAAUCAAUCAUGUCGCAGCAAUUUAGUGCAUAAAAUCACGCAGGCAUGUUCAAGAGGUUCAGUUGUUCAGACCAACAUCACAUUGAGGAAGAAAUGUGAUCCAAGUGACUCUCACUGUGGAAUGAUCUUGCGUGACAGACGGGGUGAUUUGAGUAAUUCAGAAACAGCUGAUUUUCUAAAAAUGUUCACGCACAACAGUGUCUAGAGUUAACUGAGAAUGGUGCAAAAAACCCAAAAAAUAUCCAGUUCAAAAAGCCUUGUUAAUGAGAGAGGUCAGAGGCAAAAGAGUAGACUGGUUCAGGCUGAAAUGAAGGCAACAGUAACUCAAAUAACCAUGUAUUAUAAAGGUGAUGUGCAGAAGAGCAUCUCUGAACACACAACACAUCAAGCAUUGAAGUGGAUGGAAUACAGCACAUUAAGACCACGAGCAUUUAUUAGGUAUCUCCUGUACUGAGCAAAGUGGCAGCUAAGUGGAUAUUAAUAAUUAUUGUAUAAUUUGUAUGAUACUUAUGAGUAUAUUUAGCAAUGAAUUAUAUAAUUGUUAACAUAAUUUUAUUUGUGUUACUGGUAAGAAUGGUCAUCAUUUCAUUGGGGUAUAGGAAUGAUUUUUGGCAAAGUUAUUUUAGACCGUAUGACAUAGGAGCAGAAUUAGGCCAGUUGACCCCUCUAGCCUUCUCCAGCAUUUGAUCAUAGCUAAUUUAUUUUCCCUCUCAUCACCAUUCUCCUAUCUUCUCCCCAUUCCCUUCGACGUCCUUACUAAUCACAGACCUACUGUGUUUUAUGUGAUUCUUACAACGGGAAGUUACAUCCGUACAUGAGGGAGAAAGGACCGGUAGAAAAUGUUGACAGGCAAGGUGGAGCAGGCUGGGAGGAAUAGUCCAAACACAUGAAUAGCCUCUUUCUAACUCUGAACCUCAUGUGACGUUGUAGGUUCAAGUCCCACUCCAGAUAUCUGAUCACAAAACCCAGUCUAGUACUAUUGUAGCAAUUGAGAUAUUAUCUAAUGUAGACAUGAACUCAUUACCUUGAAGAGGAGCCUGAUCUUUGUUUUAAAUGGCAUCCUCCAUAUUCUGAGGCUGAAUGUCCUGGUUCUUGAUUCUCCAAGCUUGGGCUGGUUUUAUACAGCAAUUGAGUAGACUUCAGAGAGUUCGUACAUCACUCAACCUGACCUUUCAGGCCAGGAAGUCCACACUGAUCACCCAGUAACCAUUUUAUUAACCCCCUACUUUUAUUCUCCCCAAAUUCCCACCAACUACUGCCCCUUCAAGAUUUUACUGCUCUCCGACACACUACUGGUCAAUUAACCCGUCAAUCUACAUGCCUAUAAAACUAAGGAGCAGAAUUAGGCCAUUUGGCCUAUUGAGUCUGCUCCACCAUUUCAUCAUGGCUGAUCCCAGAUCCCAUUCAACCACAUACACCUGCCUACUCGCCAUAUCUUUUGAUGCACUGACCGCUCAGGAAACAAUCAACUUCUGCCUUAAAUAUACCCAUGGACUUGACCUCCACCUCAGCCUUCUACAGAUUCACCACUCUCUGGCUAAAAAAUACCUCCUUAUCUCUGUUCUAAAAGAUCGCCCCUCAAUUUUGAGGCUGUUCCCUCUAGUUCUGGAUACCCCCACCAUAGGAAACAUCCUCUCCACAUCCACCCUAUCAGCAUUCAGUAGGCUUCAAUGAGAUCGCCAUGCAUUCUUCUAAAUUUCAGUGAGAACAGGCCCAAAGCUGCCAAACACUCCUCAUGUUAACCCCUUCAUUCCCAGCAUCAUCCUCCUGGACUCUCUCCAAUGACCUCACACCCUUUCUGAGAUAUGUGGUCCAAAAUUGGGAUGUGGGAAGAAACUUGGAAACCUAGAGGAAUCCCACACAGUCACAGAGAGUAACAAACACAGAAUGGUGCAAGGCAGCCACCAUCUAUGGGGAGGAAUAGAAAGUCGAUGUUUUGGGUCGAGAUCCCUCGUUGGGACCUGAUGAAGGGUUUCAGCACAAAACAUCUGCUGAUUUUUCUUCUCUAUAGAUGCUGCCUGACCAGCAGAGGUCCUGCAGCAUUGUGUGUGUGUGUGUGUGUGUGUUACUCUGGGUUUCCAGCAUCUCCAGAAUCUCUUUGUGUUUAUCAGUCACAGGGAGAAGUGCAAACUCCUCACAGACCACCCCGGAGAUUAGGAAUGAACCUAAAGCUCUGAGAUAACAGUUCCUCCAACUGUGUCACCCAUCAUUUCACACUUGUUAAUAUUAAUGAUAUCACACUCCCUGAAAAUUAUUUAAUUAACCUCAUUUAAAUUGAUGGAUCCACAUCACUGGAUUAUUUACCUAAUGCUUACGUGUCCAUCAAAAAGAUUGCUACAUUGUCACUCCUGAUUUUCUAACGAUCCGAUAGGGACUGCUGCAGUUACUGUUUGCACAGAAGGGUUCAUUUGGCAGUGAUUCCAAUUCUGCAGGCUGUUAGCUACAGAAUCCCCAAGGGUGUGAGGAAACUUACAGCUUCCAGC